rnacentral:rRNA from 1 species
GACGAACGCUGGCGGCGUGCUUAACACAUGCAAGUCGAACGGAAAGGCCCCCAUCUUGGUGGGGGUGCUCGAGUGGCGAACGGGUGAGUAACACGUGGGUGAUCUGCCCUGUACUUCGGGAUAAGCUUGGGAAACUGGGUCUAAUACCGGAUAGGACCAUGGUUUAGUGUCUCAUGGUGGAAAGAUUAUUGUUUUGGUGCAGGAUGAGCUCGCGGCCUAUCAGCUUGUUGGUGGGGUAAUGGCCUACCAAGGCGUCGACGGGUAGCCGGCCUGAGAGGGUGGACGGCCACGUUGGGCCUGAGAUACGGCCCAGACCCCUCCGGGGGGCCGCAGUGGGGAAGAUUGCACAAUGGGCGCAAGCCGUAGGCAGCGCCGCCGCGUGGGGGAGGACGGCCUUCGGGUUUUAAACUCCUUUCGUUGGGGACGAAGCCCCGUUUUGUGGGUGUGGUGACGGUCCCUGUUGUAAGAAGCCCCGGCAAACUACGU